UAGGGAAUCUUCCACAAUGGACGCAAGUCUGAUGGAGCAACGCCGCGUGAGUGAAGAAGGCUUUCGGGUCGUAAAACUCUGUUAUUGAAGAAGAACGUGUGUGACAGUAACUGGUCAUGCAGUGACGGUAUUCAAUCAGAAAGUCACGGCUAACUACGUGCCAGCAGCCGCGGUAAUACGUAGGUGGCAAGCGUUGUCCGGAUUUAUUGGGCGUAAAGCGAGUGCAGGCGGUCUUUUAAGUCUGAUGUGAAAGCCUUCGGCUUAACCGAAGAAGGGCAUCGGAAACUGGGAGACUUGAGUGCAGAAGAGGAGAGUGGAACUCCAUGUGUAGCGGUGAAAUGCGUAGAUAUAUGGAAGAACACCAGUGGCGAAGGCGGCUCUCUGGUCUGUAACUGACGCUGAGGCUCGAAAGCGUGGGUAGCAAACAGGAUUAGAUACCCUGGUAGUCCAC
rnacentral:rRNA from 1 species